AGGUUCUCAACCUUGAUCACAUGACUGUCCAUUCCAGGGAACAUACGUAGGUGUGUAAAUAUAAAACCUAGCGCCACGGAUAUUUCGACAAUCAAAAUACAUUCUUAUAUAUUUCAGUGUAACAAUUUCGUUACACGAUCAUAAUACACUGCGAAAAGAAAAGAAUUUUGCAUACAAUUUCGAUAGCUUUACUUUUACGAAUACUAACAUUUGAAUGUAAACUAUUUCACAUUAGAGCGUAAUUAAAGCAAUUACAUACUAGUAAAAUAUUCAUAUUGUGAACGUCAGAGGACUUCUUUGACAAUGAUCAGUGCGCAGAUUGUUAUUUUGAGUAUUAUGUAUCUGCUUUAUUUUUAUAAACAUGUAUCCGCGUUCAAAAUAACUCGUCGAUAUAAUCAAUAGAUACUCGAAAAAUUGUAUUAUUAUUUUAAAUCAUUCUGAAAUGAAGUCAGUAACUGAUUUUAAGUCAAUAACUGACGUUCGUAAAUACGUUUGAAAUUAUAUGCGUCGUAAAUUUAAAAUUGCUGAAACAACACGUGGUAUCAAUCAUUUUAUUUUUAUUUUUUCACGAUUCCGUUACAUGAUCACUGGUGCGCCGGCACGAAAAUAAGUUCGAUAAGUCGCAUUUAAUUGUGCGAUUGUUACGACACUGACAGAUACACGUGUUGACGAUCAGGACCCUAAAACCGAGGAAGAUGAUAUAACGCGGUUGGUGGGGAUCCAUGGAGCUGACGACAUAUCGACCACUGGCAAAGCAAAUUUCUGAACGUAUCGUACGAUUACGAUACGUUUUGAAAGCCUCCGAGUGAGAAUCACUGUUUUAAAGAUGUGACUGUUGAUAACGCAAGUUUGUCUUGUCAGGUGUCAUCUCAUGAUUCAAUUUCUUCAUAAUAAUUCUUAAAUCGAUGUAACUCGGAUUAUCUGAUGCAACCUCGUGUAAUUCUAAAGAUUGCAGUACAACGUACACGUAAUAAAUAGUAAUUAUUUCUACGUUUGCAUUAGUAUAGCUUAGUAUAAAUUAGUAUAGUUAAUGUAUGACUGAUAUAUAUCUUAUGUAUUACUUAUUCAUUAGUGCAAAGAAUUAACUGUCAAAUAAAUUUGGAGCUUCCUUGUUAAUUUCUA